UGGGGAAUAUUGGACAAUGGGCGCAAGCCUGAUCCAGCCAUGCCGCGUGAGUGAUGAAGGCCCUAGGGUUGUAAAGCUCUUUCACCGGUGAAGAUAAUGACGGUAACCGGAGAAGAAGCCCCGGCUAACUUCGUGCCAGCAGCCGCGGUAAUACGUAGGGGGCAAGCGUUAUCCGGAUUCAUUGGGCGUAAAGCGCGCGUAGGCGGUUUGUUAGGUCAGGAGUUAAAUCUGGGGGCUCAACCCCUAUCCGCUCCUGAUACCGGCAGGCUUGAGUCUGGUAGGGGAAGGCGGAAUUCCAAGUGUAGCGGUGAAAUGCGCAGAUAUUUGGAAGAACACCGGUGGCGAAGGCGGCCUUCUGGGCCACGACUGACGCUGAGGCGCGAAAGCUAGGGGAGCGAACAGG
rnacentral:rRNA from 1 species